CCUCUUAAUGAUCCCAUUAAGAGACUAGCUCUGGAUCGUUAGUGUUUGGUUGAAGUUUUUUUACCCUCUUAACAGGUCAGAUAUGACAAAAAUGAUCUGGAUCGUGAAGAGGUGAGAAUGAAUCUGAACGAAAAAAAAAUACUUCUAAUAUCCUUGCCCUAACAUAACACACGCCUGUGUGUUUUCUUUCUCCCCAACUAUACAUCGAACCCUCCUUCAUCAUUCUCCCUUUUUCUCGGCGUCGACCACUUCUCCCCUGCCAGUCGCGCCGCUCCGCUUCACCUUCUUCACCUCCACUCUCGAUUCCUCCCCUUUGCCGGCCCUAAAAACAUGUUCUGCUUGAUUUAUGUUCUUCUGCUUGAAAUUGGAGCUUGAUUUAUCUCCAACAAUGUUUCAGAUGUAGGAUCACAAGAAACCUAAUGAUCCAAAACCAUAAACAAAACGGGUGCAUGUAAUGUGCAAAAUCAACGUGGAAUAGGAAAAUGAACCCAGAAAAUUAGGAAGCAAUGGUUACAAGGUCCAAUUUUUUCUUGACCUUCCAAAUCCCUAUUCUUUUCGCCAUUUCUCAUUCCCAUCAUCUCCCCAAUUUCUUGUAAAAAUCAUCAUUUUAUGAUCCGGUUGAUAAUUGAACGAAUUUAUUGUGAGACAUUAUUAUAAAAUUUGUUAUACUGUGAUCUAAGGAUCCGUAUAUGUCAAAUUUGGAUGUUGUAUGAUGUAAAAUUUGUAUGCAAAAAAAUAUUUUAAAGGGUUAAAAUGGUCA